UGGGGUUUGGCUCAGUGGUAGAGCACUUGCCUAGCAUGUGUGAGGCACUGAGUUCAAUUCUUGGCACCACAU
rnacentral:tRNA from 1 species